rnacentral:rRNA from 1 species
UCCGUAGGUGGAUAAUUAAGUCAGAGGUGAAAUCCUGCAGCUCAACUGUAGAAUUGCCUUUGAUACUGGUUAUCUUGAGUCAUUAUGAAGUGGUUAGAAUGUGUAGUGUAGCGGUGAAAUGCAUAGAUAUUACACAGAAUACCGAUUACGAAGGCAGAUCACUAAUAAUGUACUGACACUGAGGGACGAAAGCGUGGGGAGCGAACAGGAUUAGAUACCCUGGUAGUCC